rnacentral:rRNA from 1 species
AUUGAACGCUGGCGGCAUGCUUUACGCAUGCAAGUCGAACGGUAACAGCACUUCGGUGGCUGACGAGUGGCGAACGGGUGGGUAAUACAUCGGAACGUGCCUAGUAGUGGGGGAUAACUAGUCGAAAGAGUAGCUAAUACCGCAUGAGAUCUAAGGCUGAAAGCAGGGGACCUUCGGGCCUUGUGCUACUAGAGCGGCUGAUGGCAGAUUAGGUAGUUGGUGGGAUAAAAGCUUACCAAGCCGACGAUCUGUAGCUGGUCUGAGAGGACGACCAGCCACACUGGGACUGAGACACGGCCCAGACUCCUACGGGAGGCAGCAGUGGGGAAUUUUGGACAAUGGGCGCAAGCCUGAUCCAGCAAUGCCGCGUGCAGGAUGAAGGCCUUCGGGUUGUAAACUGCUUUUGUACGGAACGAAAAGCCCUCUUCUAAUACAGGAGGGUCAUGACGGUACCGUAAGAAUAAGCACCGGCUAACUACGUG